rnacentral:lncRNA from 10 species
AGCCGCCACUUCCGAGAGCGCCUGCCGCCCCUGCGCCGCCGAGCCAGCUGCCAGAAUGCCGAACUGGGGAGGAGGCAAGAAAUCUGGGGCCUUGGUCCACUCUGAGUGAGGCCACCAUCACCCACCACACCCUGCCCACUCCUGCGCUUUUCAUCGCCAUUCCAUUCCCAGCAGCUUUGGAGACCUCCAGGAUUAUUUCUCUGUCAGCCCUGCCACAUAUCACUAAUGACUUGAACUUGGGCAUCUGGCUCCCUUUGGUUUGGGGGUCUGCCUGAGGUCCCACCCCACUAAAGGGCUCCCCAGGCCUGGGAUCUGACACCAUCACCAGUAGGAGACCUCAGUGUUUUGGGUCUAGGUGAGAGCAGGCCCCUCUCCCCACACCUCGCCCCACAGAGCUCUGUUCUUAGCCUCCUGUGCUGCGUGUCCAUCAUCAGCUGACCAAGACACCUGAGGACACAUCUUGGCACCCAGAGGAGCAGCAGCAACAGGCUGGAGGGAGAGGGAAGCAAGACCAAGAUGAGGAGGGGGGAAGGCUGGGUUUUUUGGAUCUCAGAGAUUCUCCUCUGUGGGAAAGAGGUUGAG